GAAAUGCGAUAAGUAAUGUGAAUUGCAGAAUUCAGUGAAUCAUCGAAUCUUUGAACGCAUAUUGCGCCCGCCAGUAUUCUGGCGGGCAUGCCUGUCCGAGCGUCAUUUCGACCAUCAAGCCCCCGGGCUUGUGUUGGGGACCUGCGGCUGCCCGCAGGCCCUGAAAACCAGUGGCGGGCUCGCUGUCACACCGAGCGUAGUAGCAAUCACCUCGCUCAGGGCGUGCUGCGGGUUCCGGCCGUUAAACAGCCUUACAAAACCCAAGGUUGACCUCGGAUCAGGUAGGAAGACCCGCUGAACUUAAGC
rnacentral:misc_RNA from 1 species